UAUUGUGCACUGCAAUAUACAAUAAAACAGAUGAGGCCUCCAAUCAUUGUAGGUGGCCGUUUGUAUGGGAGAGGAUCAGCUUCUCAAUCUGGUGGGGUCGAAAGACCACUUCCUCCGGCAGCCAACACUGAACAAAUUGAACAGAUGGAAGAAAUAGCAACUAUAGCACAUGAUGUUCGAGUGCUCCAUCCAUCUAGAAGGAAUGGAGCCAAAUGGUUCAAAAACAACACUGAAGUAUCAACCAGAGUGAGAAAAAUCAUUGAAGGGUGCUUUAAGGGACCAUGGUACAGCUGGAAAAAAGUGCCACGGCAUUUUAAAGAAGCAUGGUAUUCAACGUUUAAGACAAUGUAUGAGUGGGAUGUCUCAAUCGAGCAUCUAGUGAAAGCCAACUUUGAUGCACUUGCUGCUACUCGCUUGAGAGGAAUGGUUAGCCUUGCAAAGUCCAAUGGAGUAAAGCCAGAUUGGAUUUUGUCAUCAGAUUGGUCAGUAAUGUUAGCUCACUGGAGGACACCAGAAGUCAAAGAAAAAGCCAAAAAGCUUGUUCUUCUCGGCUGUUUAGUCGUGAUGGUUUAGGUCCCCACCGACACAGAUCAGGUUCACGUUCAUAUGCCAAGGUUCAAGAUGUUCUGGAAGCAAAUAAUGAAGACUCUUCCUUCAUUGCUGUGAUGAAAAAAAACACACCAAAAAUCUGAUGGAACAUAUGUUGAUGAAAGAGCAAGAGUAAUUGCAGAACAAUAUGAUGAACAUGUGCAAGAACGCUUAGCACAGAUGGAGUCUGCCAAUGGUGAGGUUUUGACUGAUGCCCUUACUCUAGAGGAAAGAAAUGAAAUUUACAUUAAGGUUGCUGGAAUAUCAAAGCAAGGUCGUGUAUUUGGACUUGGAUCACUUCAAAGUGGAGUUUCUAUGUCUUUUAAUGGUUCGUCUGUUUUGCCACAAACUAUUGAAGAAGUGGGAACCUUAACUCGCCGAAUCGAGGAGCUUGAAACUGAUCUGCAAAAAAGCCAUGAUGAGAAUGCUCUUUUCCAGAAACACCUCGAAAACUGUGGAGAAACUUGUGGAGACUCUUUUUGGCCAGGAUGUCUUAACCACAACAACUCCAUCUUCUUCUACUCCAGCAUAAACUUCCGCUUCU